CGAAUGCUGACGUGAGUAACGACAAAACGGGUGAAAAACCCGUUCGCCGAAAGACCAAGGGUUCCAGUCCAACGUUAAUCGGGGCUGGGUGAGUCGACCCCUAAGGCGAGGCCGAAAGGCGUAGUCGAUGGGAAAAUGGUUAAUAUUCCAUUACUUCUGUGUAAUGCGAUGAGAGGACGGAGAAGGCUAAAUCAGCCUGGCGUUGGUUGUCCAGGUGAAAGGAUGUAGGCAUGUAUCUUAGGCAAAUCCGGGGUACUCUAUGCUGAGAUCUGAUAGCAAGCUGUACUUGUACAGCGAAGUGGUUGAUGCCAUGCUUCCAGGAAAAGUCUCUAAGCUUCAGUUACACAGGAAUCGUACCCGAAACCGACACAGGUGGUCAGGUCGAGUAGACCAAGGCGCUUGAGAGAACUCUGCUGAAGGAACUAGGCAAAAUGGUACCGUAACUUCGGGAGAAGGUACGCUGUUGUUGGUGAUGGAACUCGCUUCCUGAGCUGACGACAGCCGCAGAAACCAGGCCGCUGCAACUGUUUAUUAAAAACAUAGCACUCUGCAAACACGAAAGUGGACGUAUAGGGUGUGAUGCCUGCCCGGUGCUGGAAGGUUAAUUGAUGGGGUUAGCGUAAGCGAAGCUCUUGAUCGAAGCCCCAGUAAACGGCGGCCGUAACUAUAACGGUCCUAAGGUAGCGAAAUUCCUUGUCGGGUAAGUUCCGACCUGCACGAAUGGCAUAAUGAUGGCGGCGCUGUCUCCAGCAGAGGCUCAGUGAAAUCGAAAUCGCUGUGAAGAUGCAGUGUACCCGCGGCUAGACGGAAAGACCCCGUGAACCUUUACUGCAGCUUGACACUGAACUUUGACCUUACUUGUGUAGGAUAGGUGGGAGGCUUUGAAGCUGGAACGCUAGUUCCAGUGGAGCCGUCCUUGAAAUACCACCCUGGUAAUGUUGAGGUUCUAACUCUGUCCCGUGAUCCGGGACGAGGACCGUGUCUGGUGGGUAGUUUGACUGGGGCGGUCUCCUCCUAAAGAGUAACGGAGGAGUACGAAGGUGCGCUCAGCGUGGUCGGAAAUCACGCGUAGAGUAUAAAGGCAAAAGCGCGCUUAACUGCGAGACCCACAAGUCGAGCAGGUACGAAAGUAGGUCUUAGUGAUCCGGUGGUUCUGUAUGGAAGGGCCAUCGCUCAACGGAUAAAAGGUACUCUGGGGAUAACAGGCUGAUACCGCCCAAGAGUUCAUAUCGACGGCGGUGUUUGGCACCUCGAUGUCGGCUCAUCUCAUCCUGGGGCUGAAGCAGGUCCCAAGGGUAUGGCUGUUCGCCAUUUAAAGAGGUACGCGAGCUGGGUUUAGAACGUCGUGAGACAGUUCGGUCCCUAUCUACCGUGGGCGCUGGAAAUUUGAGAGGAUCUGCUCCUAGUACGAGAGGACCAGAGUGGACGAACCUCUGGUGUACCGGUUGUGACGCCAGUCGCAUCGCCGGGUAGCUAUGUUCGGAAGGGAUAACCGCUGAAAGCAUCUAAGCGGGAAGCCUACCUCAAGAUAAGAUUUCCCUAGGACUUUAUGUCCUCUAAAGAGCCGUUCGAGACUAGGACG
rnacentral:rRNA from 1 species